rnacentral:rRNA from 1 species
GACGAACGCUGGCGGCGUGCCUAACACAUGCAAGUCGAACGAAGUGGCGAACGGGUGAGUAAUACGUGAGUAACCUGCUCUCCUUUUUGGGAUACGCCUUGGAAACGGGGCUUAUUACGGAAUAAAGGGGGUUGGGCUAGCGGCCUAUCAGCUGGUGGGUGGGGUGAUGGCCUAACACGGCGACGACGGGUCGCCGGCCGGAGAGGGGGAACGGACAAAUGGGCACUGAGAUACGGCCGAGAGUCCUACGGGAGGAAGCAGUGGGGAAUAUUGCACAAUGGGGGAAACCCUGAUGCAGGAACGCCGCGGGCGGGAUGACGGCCGUCGGGUUGUAAACCGCUUUCAGCCAUGACGCGGUAGUGGGAGAAGAAGCAGCGGCUAACUACGUGCCAGCAGCCGCGAAUUC